UCUUAAACCACAUGUGGAAUCAACCUCUAACCAUAAUCUUCCCUCAUUCCUUCAACAUGAGAGAAAACUGUUUCCUCAACCAUUAAAGCAUUACCGUUAACAAGAGGGCUGAAAACAUCUUAUCAAUUCUUCUUCAUUUUUUUUUAACUUAUAAAAUUUGGGGGGAAAAAAUUAAACUAGAUUACAAAAAUGAAAUUAAUUUAACAAGCACAUAUUUACUUGUUACAUAGAAGCAUCAGCUACAAACAUAACUAACAGAAAAUACCAAAGGAAUGAAGCACGCUGACAUAUGCAUAUAUGCAGCUAAUCAGAACAGAUUCCCAAGGCCCGGAUCUAAUAAAGACCUAUGUGGGGUUUUAGCUUGUUUGUUUUUUAGAUCAGACGGACUUUGUUGUUGUUAGUUGGACUUUGUUGUUUAACUGGUUAAAAAUAACCUCUAAGGAAAAAAACCUCCCCUCUCCCCUGCGACUGCUCACUGAUGCGAUUAUCCACCUUGCGCUUAUGGUGGCUGCAGAGCUUGGACAAGAGCUGGAAUCUUUUUACACUGCUACUUGAGGCAGAGAACCUCGGAUCCUUCGAUCACAGAGACCAGUAAUGGGCCUACCUGCAGCCAAUCAAAAUGCAGAAGAAUGAGAAAAGAAUGGAGCUGGUACUAGAUUUUUCCAUGGAUCUCCUGACUGUACACGGUAACCCAUUUCAUCUCUUCACCUGUGCCAUAAUUUCUGUGCUGCCCCCUUGGGGCCCACCAAUCAACAGAGUUGGAAUCAGAUGAAGAGAGUUCUUCCUGAAAAGAAGAACGACCCCAAGUGCAGUUCUGCACGUUGAAGGAGAAACGAGAUGGUGCCAGUGGAACUACCCCGUGCACAGUCA
rnacentral:lncRNA from 1 species